rnacentral:rRNA from 1 species
CCUACGGGUGGCAGCAGUGAGGAAUAUUGGUCAAUGGACGAGAGUCUGAACCAGCCAAGUAGCGUGAAGGAUGACUGCCCUAUGGGUUGUAAACUUCUUUUAUAUGGGAAUAAAAUGUUCCACGUGUGGGAUUUUGUAUGUACCAUAUGAAUAAGGAUCGGCUAACUCCGUGCCAGCAGCCGCGGUAAUACGGAGGAUCCGAGCGUUAUCCGGAUUUAUUGGGUUUAAAGGGUGCGUAGGUGGAUUGUUAAGUCAGUUGUGAAAGUUUGCGGCUCAACCGUAAAAUUGCAGUUGAAACUGGCAGUCUUGAGUACAGUAGAGGUGUGCGGAAUUCGUGGUGUAGCGGUGAAAUGCUUAGAUAUCACGAAGAACUCCGAUUGCGAAGGCAGUUCACUGGACUGCAACUGACACUGAGGCUCGAAAGUGUGGGUAUCAAACAGGAUUAGAUACCCGAGUAGUC